CCUACGGGGGGCAGCAGUAGGGAAUAUUGCUCAAUGGGGGAAACCCUGAAGCAGCAACGCCGCGUGGAGGAUGGAGGUUUUCGGAUUUUAAACUCCUUUUGUUAGAGAAGAUAAUGACGGUAUCUAACGAAUAAGCACCGGCUAACUCCGUGCCAGCAGCCGCGGUAAUACGGAGGGUGCAAGCGUUACUCGGAAUCACUGGGCGUAAAGAGCGCGUAGGCGGGAUAGCAAGUCAGAUGUGAAAUCCAAGGGCUUAACCAUAGAACUGCAUUUGAAACUGUUAUUCUAGAGUAUGGGAGAGGUAGGUGGAAUUCUUGGUGUAGGAGUAAAAUCCGUAGAGAUCGAGAGGAAUACUCAUUGCGAAGGCGGCUUGCUAGAACAUAACUGACGCUGAUGCGCGAAGGCGUGGGGAGCAAAAAGGAUUAGAUACCCGGGUAGUC
rnacentral:rRNA from 1 species